rnacentral:rRNA from 1 species
UACGGAGGGUGCAAGCGUUAUCCGGAAUCCUUGGGUUUAAAGGGUCCGUAGGCGGUUUUAUAAGUCAGUGGUGAAAUCCGGUAGCUCAACUAUCGAACGGCCAUUGAUACUGUAGAACUUGAAUUAUUGUGAAGUAACUAGAAUAUGUAGUGUAGCGGUGAAAUGCUUAGAUAUUACAUGGAAUACCAAUUGCGAAGGCAGGUUACUAACAAUACAUUGACGCUGAUGGACGAAAGCGUGGGGAGCGAACAGG